GGGCUGGUCAUUAGAGACAGGGUCUGUCUCUGUCACCCAGACUGUAGUGCAGUGGCACCAUCAGAGCUUACUAUAACCUUGAAUACCUGGGCUCAAGCCAUCCUCCCACUUCUGCCUCCCAAACUCUGGGAUUAUAGGCAUGAUACUGUUCCUGGCCUAGAGUGUUGAUUUUCAUUUUUUCAGGAGUCAUUCAAAUGACUGUGAUAAUUCUGUCUUAGAUUCCCUAUGAUUAAAGAAAAAACAAAUGAAAAAAUAUUACAUUUUAACCCAGGCAACUUCAGUUAUCUUAAAGCUAGAGAACUACUACAACCCAGUUAUACCUUCUAACUUUUUACUGUUAUCAGUUAAUUAUAGGUUGUUACAUUCCUGUAUGUAUAAUACUCAUCUUUAGCAUUUUCUUUAGAAGUCUAGAAUGACUAGACAUCAUGGCUUUCUUUUCAGAUUGCAAACUGACUUUCUAAAAUGUGCCAAUCAGUCCCUGUUAAAUUAUAGUUUAAACAAUAAAUUUAGCUUUAAACGGAAUUCAACACAUUGGAAGUUUUGUUUGAAUUUAUCUCAACUAGCUUGAUUUUAAUUCUUCACAAACUACAUUCCAUAAGGGAAGAAAUAAAUACUAAAACCCUUUAUGUAGAAGGUGAAUAUUUGAAUAUCAUCUCUAUUUAACAAAAUUUGUUUCUAGUACCUUUUUUUUAUUGUUGACUGCAGUCAUAAAUGUGUGUUAUUCCUGUUCCCUAAAAUGUGUUGGUUUUAGUAUAAUAUGAGGCAUAUGGAGAACCAUUUAAGAAGAAUGUAUCCAUCCACUAUGACAUUAGGUUAUUUUCUACUCUAAAGUUAGUAAACUCUAUAUGGCAUACAUCAAACAUUUAAAAAUUAUCAUUAGUGAGUCUUUGGGAUUACUGAGUUGCCCCCUUGGGGUAUAUGAAAAGUCCAUAGGCAACUUAUGAUCAUUUUAAGUAAAAGCAAGUCACCUUAAUCUUUUAGGGAGAACCAAAUAAUCUUUAAGAUCCUUUCCAGCUCUAAACUUUUAAAGUUUAUGCUUAUUCUAGAAAUAGAUUUCAUAUAUUAAAGAGACGUGCAUCUUGCCUAUUUAGUUAUUUUUCUUUGUCCUUAGUUGUUGGACAUCAAAAGUAAAAUUUGGUAGGUGAUAGAAAAAAAAAUCUGACUAAAUUAAAGUCUCACAAUAAAUUGGUAGCAGAACUAAGCAUGAGAAUCAGUUGUACUCCCAGCCUUCUGGUCCUGUACUGUCUUUAUAUUCCACUUAACACACACACAAAGGAGCCUUUCUCUGGAGCUCUAUAUUUUAAAAUAUCUGUAGUGGAUUGAAGACCCUGAUUGUAAGUCCUUCAUCAAGGCUGUCCCAAUGAUCAGGGCACACUGACUUCAAUCACUAACCUGCACCUAAGUUGGAUCUAACCUUUGGAAAAGCCUGAAAGAGCCAGAGGCAACCUAGAACCAGUCUGGGCCAUGAAAGUGAAAGGAGUAGUAUGCUUCUGAUCCUAAGUGCUCUGUGAAGUGAAUUAUUAGAGGUAAGUUGAAUAAUUGUACUAAAAAUAAGAUUUCGGAGCAGCUGGUGGGUGUUCACCCAUGGGGUGAGGGGGAUAGAGCUCUAGUAUGUAAGCAUCUGGAGGCAUCUGGGAGGAGUGGAAAUGGGGCCAUCUGAUUAGUAACUAUGCCUUGUUAUUAAACCGUGACUUUCUGCAUUGUGUAUUCCCAGAGUUGGAAAACUUCCGCUGGCAAAAAAAAAAAAAGGGGCUGCCGUGCUGUUGCUGAGGGCCAUACAGUAGACACAAAAGCGCCUUCUUAGAGGCCUUCAGCAGAGGCAGCUUGUACAGGCAGGCCUGUUCCUCUCAAAGACUGGGAAUCAGAUUCUUUCCCCAGGGGGUUUCCAACUAGUUUGCACUUCAGAAAAACCUUUUCUUUCUCCUGCUGUUCACGCCCUGCAAAGAAUUUUCUUCCAACCAAAGAAAUUGUUUUAUAAUCAGAGAUCCUUGUCCUUAGUUGUUGGACAUCAAAGAAAGUUUGGAGGAGUCUGGGGGAUUAAAUGAGUGCCUAGAAUUUAUUUUGAAUACAAACUUGCAACAUUAGCAAGUCCCCCAAAGAAUAUACUCAUCUCAGAGCUGGGCGAGAGCCUAAUAUAAGUAAGUCUUUCUUCUUCCUCGGUUGGAUGUGCCCCAGUAAGAUACAAAUGAGUUGAACUGCCUUAUCUGGACUUAAUUCAUGUAUGUUUGGUUCUUGAGGUACACACCUACUGGAAGAGGUCCCCUAACCUAUCUUCCUUUUUAAAAACUGAUAUUUGGAAACAUCAAACACUAUUAAUACACUUGAAGCAACAACCAAAAAAAAAAACCAGUAAACAAAACCCUUUUUAAACUAAUGUUUGACUCUUGGGAGUUUGGGGUUUCUCCCAGGACAGUUGAUGAUAUCACCAAAUGUUGGGAGCCACAUUCCCUGCAUUCCCUACUGUCACUGAGGUGUUGAUGAUGUCAUUUUCUCCCACAAAGGAAAACCUCAGCACCCUGAGGGCCUGAACUCAGGUCUUGGCAGGUAAAUCAAGGAAGAACUUAUUUUUGGAUUUCAACUGAUUGAGUCAGGCAUAAAGAGACACAACCACCACGUUAAGUAUUAGCAUCACAGCCUCAUCUCUAGGGCCUGAAUAGACAAUUUAUCAUUUGAAGGAAAUUAAGACUAUAACUUUAAGAAAUUAUCUUCUGGGUAAGAACAAUGAUUCAUGUAAUAUUUUGGUUCUUACACUUUGGGACAUUUAUAGGGCAUUGUUCUCAGAGAUUUUGGCCCCGUCCUUCUCUGAAUCCACAAAUUUUCCAAGCCCCUCUGGAACCUGUUUGUAGAUUAUCUAGCUUUCCUUCCUCAAGCAGAUUAACAACGUAAAUAAGAAUUAGGGGGGAAAAUGAUGGAUAGGGCAGAUUUAGGCAGAAUUAUGCCUUUGGCAAAGUACAUUCUUGUUAUUUUAUCUUGGUUCUGUGGUUAUGAACUGAAGAGAGCAUUUGCUCUAGAAGAUUUCCAAUCUCUUCUCAUCCCUUCAUCACAACCACAGAGUAGUGGUUGGAAAUAGGUUCCAGGAACACCAAAAAUGCUCAGUAUUUUCAAUGGUAUCAGCUAACAGUGUCCCAACAGGGAUUCUUUGAGCACUCUUCCUCUGAGCCUUCUUGUGGUGUCCUUGUGGUCAGGAGACAUAUCAUCAAUCACAAAGACUUGCCCUGGAGACAAACCUGGUGAAAAAUAUCAGUUAUCUGUCUUCACCACUAGAAAAAAUCCUUUUUUUUUCACUGGUUCUGAACAAACAUGCUAUAUAGUUUUUUAGAGAAAGAUCAUCUCUUUCAUGGAAUCAUCAACUGACCACUCUCAAAAUUUGAGAUGCACUAGUUUGUACUAGGAAGGUAAGGUAGGAUCUGUGAGGUAAGUAGGAUUUACCAAAGGUUUUUAUUCUACUCAGCAGUGCUAAUUUACCUGUGUUGCUCCUAUACAGGUAUUAUAUUAUAGGUUUUUUUUUUGUUUUUGUUUUACAGUAGGAAUAUAUGGAUAAAAUUCACUGAAAUGAAAGUGUCCCUUUAGCUUAUAUAGGGAAAUAGGGAAUUGAAUUUGUAAGGAAGGAGCCCAGCCUGUACCUGACCUUUCAUUUUCAUAGUCUUUUUUUCUCCUGAGUUGAUGUAGGCUUAAAGCAAAUGAAUGUAUUAUAUAAAAUGCCCUAGUUUUUCAAGCAGUGUCAAUCUUCAGAGUAUGGAAUAGGAUUUGGCAUUUUGUUUCAAUUUUUAUUGUUUUGUUUUCUAAAGGGAGGUUUGAGUUAGAGCCUGUCUGGCAAGAUUCCAUACUGCUACCAUACCACCUGUCCUGGCAGAGACAAUGGAAUCAAAAGUCAAGUUCUUUAUGACUGCACCUGCCUUGUAAGUGCUGCCAGAAGAUCUGAUUUUCUCUUGUAGCUAAACUUUAUGCAGAAACUAGUGGUUGGCACCCAAACACUUGGAUAUCCCAACAUCAAGAGGACUAGUACCACUAGUUCUCCAGCUGACUUACAAAGUAGUGUUUAGCAUAAUAUUCAAUGAUUAUUUAUCAAAUGGAGGAGAAGUAACUUUCUGGUUUACCUAGUUUUCAAGACUUUUGUGAGGAUCUAUUAAUAAACAUGAAUCAUUUGGUAAUUAUUAUUUGAAAACUGCCUGUGUAGUUCUGCAUCUAGAGAGCAUGAAAGAGUAUAUUCUCCCCCAAAGAGAUCAGGCACAUAUCUCUGAAGUCAGACCACUAUGCAAAGUUCCUAAGGUGAGAAGCUGCUGUUUCUCCUGUUGCUUUUUUGUUUCCCCAGAAAUGUAGGUUACCCUACAGUCACCAAGCAUUGCCUUGAUGAGAACUUUUUCCUUAUGAAUUAUCGGAGUGUUUCUUGGGUUCCCUCAGGGCAGAGUUGCUUCAUUAUCUUCUAACUUAUGUAUAACUGGACACCUUCUGGCCUAAGAACAUAAUUUCUAUCACCAAUCAAAUAAUUAAGAUAAUAUACCCACCAAAUGGUGCUCUUUGCACAGAAUUCUUUUAUAAUGAUAUAAUAUGAUAAUAAAGUAUAAAAGGUAUUCUAAAAUGAGGAGCAGCAUCCUACAGUGAAAAGUGCUCUCAGUAGACUUGUAUUUUAAUCUCAGCACAGAUCCUUCUUAGCUUUAUGAUCUAAAGGAAAAUUGCUUAACCUCUUUGAGCUUGUGGCUCCCUGAGUAAAAUGGGGAUAAUAGUAAUAAAUGGCCUGACUACCUGAAAUGAAAUAAUAUAUGAGUGUUGUCUUUGAAAAUAGCAAAUUAAGGUAUUACUAACAGUAAUUAAACUUGAGCUACUCCUUAUUCACCUAAUUACUAUCACAAAUAUUACUAAGUGUGAAGGUUAUUGAUUUAGGCUCAGUUAACCUAUUUGCAUUCAAUUUGACAUCAGCCUAACAUAACUAAGCAAGACUGUAUUUUUAGUGUAGCUACAAGGACAAGGCUUUAGCUUCAAAAUUUUGUGGGUCAAGGGUGCUGAUUAAAUACUACCACAGUGUAGUACAGGUAGCCUUAGUGGUUUAGAGAAUGACUACUAGUGUAUGAGUUCUGUCGGGGGAACUUAAGACCUGUUACUGCUUUGCUUGUGGUACGGUGAAUCACUUCUCUGCCCUGGACCUUUGUACAUGUGCCUGUUCAAUACUGGUAACCCCUCAUUAGAUUCCUUCCAUGAUCAAUGACACAAAACAGCUGCUUUCUAAGUUUUUACUUAUCAGAAUCUGAGGGACCCUAGAACCACAUUAUAAUAUCCCUAUUAUAUCUUCCCUUUUGGAAAUUUUAGAGUAUUUUUUAGAACUGCUGCUACUGGCUGGGCACGGUGGCUCACACCUGUAAUCCUAGCACUUUGGGAGGCUGAGAUGGGCAGAUCAUCUGAGGUCAAGAGUUAGAGACCAGGAGUUAGAGACCAGGCUGACCAACGUGGUGAAACCCCAUCUCUACUAAAAAUACAAAAAUUAGCCUGGUGUGGUGGCACAUAUUAUGUCAUUAUAAAAGUAGCUGAGUAAUCCCAGCUACUCAGGAGGCUGAGGCAGGAGAAUCGCUUGAACCCAGGAGGCAGAGGUUGCAGUGAGCCAAGAUCACGCCCCUGCACUCCAGCCUGGGUGACAGAGUGAGACUUUGUCUCAAGACAAAAAAAAUUGCUGCUACUCUGGGAUGGUUGCUCAGGAUGCAGCUUCUGGUGUGUAGCUUGCAGUCAUGUUUCUAAAGACCAGAAGGGAAGGAGUUGAGGGUGGGGGACUAAUUUACCCAGUUCAUUAUACUCUGCUGGUCCCAACAUGUUUUUUGAAACUUAGCAGAUACGAUUCUAUUGCCUGCUUGGAAAUUAUCCCACAAGUCUCUGAGACUCCAAGUUCCCUAUCUGAGAAGAAUUGGAUCAAAGUAAGAAUAAGCAGAGUUUUCAUCAUAGCAUCUAUCAAAUAUUUGUGUCCCUAAAAAAUUUUCAGGUAAAGACCACCCUUUGAGCCUUCUCAGAGACUACUAGUCUGCAGUAUGAAAAAAAUCUGUAUUCAGUGUUUUGUAACUUUGCCAAUUUGAAGUCUCUUCCCAAAAUAAGUAAAUAAUGGGAUAAAGGUAAUUAUGGGUUUCCUCUUCUUUUCUACUUACCUGUUCCCUGUUAUGAUUAAAUACACACAGCUUAUAACUCUUUUGGAAACAAACCGAAAUACCAUUAUUAUCCUUUCAACACUUGCAUGGUAUUAUAAUUCAUUUCAAUCACCAGUACAACACAGUGUUUGUUAGGAGACCAGUGGGGUGUGGGAGGGGGAGGACCAGGAGAGGAGCAGACAUUUUCCUUUUUAUUGGCUUUGGGAAGCCUCCUUCCUCUCCCAAGGCACUUCUUGGGGAAAACUGUUUUCUUCCCAAAGCCUAAUAAAGAUUAGUAAGAGACCUCUGCAAAGAAUUAGAAGCUCUUUAAAAUAAAGGCAUGGAUAACCAUUCAAUAUCACUGUUAUUAUCAUUAAAAAGGAAAGCCCAGCAUGUGAUGUUUUGGGUCACUUCCAGCGGCCUUGUUUGAUGUUCACGGUUCCUUUUUUGACCUUUACUUCUUGAUAUCUUUAUAUAUUUAUUGAGGCUAUUGGACAAAGUCUUGAGAUACUAAGCAAUACAGUGAAUGAUUGCUAGACUCCAUUUUUAUGGGUUGAAUUUGUUAAAAUGUGUUUUUGUCUUUAAACAACGAGAUACCUCGUUCCAGUUUGGCAAUAUUGGUGGCAAGGUUAAUUUAAUACCUGGUCACUUUUUAGUUUUUAUUUCCUAUUCUGUACCUUACCCAGACCUAAAGUUCUAUAGGAUACUUUUCAUUAAAUAAAUCAUAAUUAACUGGAUUUUUUUCUGUACUAUGCUUAUUAACCAGAGAUACAUCAAAAAAGAAGCAGAUCCAAUUGACCUAAAAAACAAAUAAGAACUUCCCAGGGACGUUGUAAGUUUAUCCCAGUCUCUUAUACUUUAGUAUGUAAAUUAUCUCAUGCCAAAAAUGACCAUAAUGAUGUCCUCGUAGUGUUAUAAGACAUGAAGUAAAAGCUUCCUUUUGUUUGACAUGAUGUAUUUAGGCAGAAAAGUGUACCAAUACAUUUAAAAAAAGAUUUUAACAGUGCAGAUUGAAUUUAUAAGGACUUCCUUGUCUUCAGAAAGGUAAAUAAAUCACUGUCACCCUAAAAGGAAGAAGCUGAGGCAAAAUUAAUAUAAGUAGAGAGUUUAUUUGAACCAGGUUGAAGGAUUACAACUGCGGAGCCUAGAUUCAAGUUGCCCUGAAUAUACACUGAUUGGCGGCAGUUACAAGUGGAUUUUGAAAGGCAAAAAAGAGGGAUAGGGAGUGGGGCUGAUACAAAGUUGUUUGUCAGAAAUUCUCAUUGGUUUACAGAAAUAACAUUGAUUAGUAAUGGCUAUUCAUUGUUAAGCUACAGGGUAUGGGUUAUAGUGUCUGGUGUGGCAUUAUUAGAUUAAGUUAUAGCUACUUGUGGCAAUAGCAAGCAGUUUCAAGAGAUGAAUAACAUAGCCCAAAGCAGGGAGUAGGACUUGAUUGCAGUCUCAUUGUAAUGUCUCUCUGGGCCUGAUAAUUAAAAGGAAUUACAUUCUUCACAUAAAAGCUAUUUUCUUUUCUCAUCACAAACUUUUCUUUUCUUUUUUUUUUUUGAGAUGGAGUUUCACCCUUGUCACCCAGGCUGGAAUGCAAUGGCGCAAUCUUAGCUCACUGCAACCUCUCAGGUUCAAGUGAUUCUUCUGCCUCAGCCUCCUGAGUAGCUGGGAUUACAGGCACCCACCACCAUGUCAAGCUUAUUUUGAUAUUUUUUGGUAGAGACAGGGUUUCACCAUGUUGGCCUGGCUGGUCUCAAACUCCUGACCUCAGGUGAUCCUCCUGCCUUGGCUUCCCAAAGUUCUGAGAUUAAAGGUGUGGGCCACCAUGCUGAGCCACAAACUUUUAUUAUUAUUUAAUGACCUGUGUUAAUCAGAAUAUCCUAUUCCAUAACUGGCAAUUGUAUUUGAGAAUUAGGUAGAAUUAUCUCUUUUUCUUUUAAUAUUUCUGGUCUUUUGAGUGUGUAGGGUUGCUCUGUUUCAUAAAAAAGGGCACAAUUUCAUAAUCCUAGUUGAUGAAUCGUUUCACAUUUUAAAUGGUUAUCUUAUAAUAAAGUUUGCUUGUACAUACACACUUAUUUUUCUCCCUCUAGGUUUUCAGGUUUUUUUCCCCCAAUUUCUACCCUGAUUUCUGCAUUCCUACACACACAGAUUUUUUUUUUUUAAUUUCUAAGCUUAACUCUCAUCAAAUAAAGGUAAGCUAGAAAAUCAAAACCCUGAAUCUUUUCAUCAGAACCAAAGGAACUCAGCAAGUUCUGAAGGAGAUUGAAGUUGAAGAUUGUGUAUGUCAUACCAACCACUGAUAGAGAAUUAUUUGAAAUUAACAUCAUAUUUGAUUUUAUACAAAAGCAACUACCAUGAAACUACUAUGGUUUUGUGUGUGUGUGUGUGUGUGUGUGUGUGUGUGUGUGUGUAUAAAGGAUAAAAAAAUGUUUGGGUUAGAAUGAAUAUAUCUAUUGUAUAGAAGAUAUAUAUUCCAUAUUGUAUAUAUUCUCUAGAGAGAAUAUUCCAAAUGCUUAUUUUCAAUUCUUUAGGGGAAGCUAUUAACUCUAAACAAAUCUCAGACCAGUCUCUAAAAUUAGCUCCCUUUGGAGACCCUGAAGCCAAAUUAAAUAUCUGGCCUUUGAAAUUUUGCCUGUUGAGAGCAUGGCCACAUGUAAAAUGGAUAACCUUAGGACAGCACCCACUCUGUUUCUUUCUCCCUCAAGUCCCCGCUUCCACUCAUAAUUUCAGUUAAUUGUACUUAGUAGUAAACAGUUAAGUCUAACCUCCUCACAGACUGACUUCUUUCCCUCUGUUUCAGCCUUGUCUAAAUUCAGCAUGUGGGAUCUGAGUUGCUUUCUUUUUCCUGUUAAGUGGUUGCGUGUUCAUCUCUCCUCACUUGUGUUGACUACCUUGACUCUUAAGAAUUUUAAUCUACAUGAUGGUCCUUCUGUUUUUUGUCUCUCAUUUUCAUUUUUGGGUUAUUUAAAAAUCCAUGCCCACUGUCAAGUCAAAUGUUUCUUCUAUCAACAGUUGUUAUCUCUGUAUCCUCCAUAUUAUGUUGGUCUUUUUUUUUUUUUUGAGACGGAGUUUCACUCUUGUUACCAAGGCUGGAGUGCAAUGGCAUGAUCUCGGCUCACCGCAACCUCCGCCUCCCGGGUUCAGGCAAUUCUCCUGCCUCAGCCUCCUGAGUAGCUGGGAUUACAGGCACGCGCCACCAUGCCCAGCUAAUUUUUUGUAUUUUCAGUAGAGACGGGGUUUCACCAUGUUGACCAGGAUGGUCUCGAUCUCUUGACCUCGUGAUCCACCCUCCUCGGCCUCCCAAAGUGCUGGAUUACAAGCUUGAGCCACCACACCCGGCCAUGUUGGUCUUUUUUAGGUUAGGAUUUUGAUGACCAGGCCUGUUGCCUCCUAUGUCAUAUGCUACACUAGAUUCACUGUCUACAUUUCAAUAAAUGUUAUAAAAUAACCAUCAUUUUCUUGAAUAAGCUGGUAUAUCGCUGCUUGUUCCUCUGGAGACAGUUUUCUGCAGGCUACAUUAACAGGCAAUGGAAAUGCAUGCCAGGCUACAUGCUAACAGUUGUGUCUUUCCAUCAGAAAAACAUCCUUUUUUUCCCCUCCCUGUCAAAUAAAGGCUUAGGUGUUAGAGACAAUUGCAAAAUACAGAAAAUGAACAAGAAGAACUGAAAUCACAGCAUCUGUGGUUUUCUCUAUCCUUAAUAGUGAGGCAGCUUCUUAAGAGGAUUUGAUUGUAAUAUAUUGAUAAAAUGUUUAUAGUCAUCCCUUUGCAGUUCGUUUUGAAAGUAGUUUCUGAGCAGCAGUUCCUGCAUCAUCUAGAAAACUUUUAGCUAGAGAAACCACAUUUCUUUUUCUCAAGGUGCAAAACCAGUUUACUCUUUUUUUGAGUUUAACACCUGAUCUUAAUGGCGAGGGACUAAGUUACAUGGUCUUUCUUCCAAAAGAAUAUUUCUCAGAUUUUUGUGUUCUAUAGCUUUCUGAUUAAAUUGCCUAAUAAUAGAACUAUUUAUUACUCACAGGGAAUUCAGUCACAGAGAACUGUGUCUAUCUAGGACUUCAAGUGUACAUAAUAAUAAACUGUUCCUCAUAAAGGGGUUGGGGUAACUUCAUAGCCAUUGCUAUGGUAGUAGAUUUGGAUGCAUCUGACUAUGGAACCAGAUCCCUGAUCAGAAAUAGUUGAGUUGUGUAUACAAUUAAAGCUAGGGAACUUAUCAUCACAUAAUAUUGCCUUGUAUUGACAAUCAUCCUUCCAUUAUCUUUGGGUAAGUAAGGCAUGCUUAAGACAGACCAUUUGGCUGUCUCAAAGCCAUCGCCUUCUAUUUUUUUCCCAAAGGAAAUUCAGAUCCUGUUUAAUAUUUGCUAGUUUUGCUAGGUACUGAAGGCAGAAAGAGGUUGUAGUGGUAUCUUGUGAGGAAGGAAAUCAGUGUUUCUUUUUCUUUUUUUUCCCAACAAACUGUACAUGUUUAAUGCCAUGGAAAUCAGUGUUUCUUAUCCAUUUUCCAUAUACUGUCAGUCUGUCCAAGCAGACUUAUUAUGUGGCAAACUGAUAAGGAACUUUGUUUUCCUCUUGAUAUACUUGCCUGCACAGCACCAUGUGCCACUUUGGAGAGCUCUGUGGUGGAGUUUCAACUCUCUAGAUAAGAUGGAAUAGCUGAACCGUUGUGCCUCCAUGGAUUUUCACAACCCUGAAAGUAACGAGAGUUUGGGAGGAUGAAAGAGGGCUAUUUCCCACCCACCCUGAGAGUCCUUAAAGUUCAAAGCCACAGAUUGUGUUUCAGUGGAGCCAAGGCAUCUGGAGCAGCCCAGUUACUGGAGAGGUAACUAUUGCAGGCACCCUUCCUGUUGCUAUUCUCUAAAGUAUUUAUCUAGGUGGCCUUUGCCCUUCCCUGUGAAUCUUCUCCUCAAGUCCCUCUACCCUUUUGUUGGCCUGCUUUGAACUUCUUGUGCGUUAAUCUCUUUUACAAACUAAGAUGUCUAAGCAUAGGAUAGGAAGUGCUCCAGGUGUACUCUCACCCAUACUGUGUGAGGAUUGUUGAACUAUCUGGUUUCUCAUAUUUCAGAACUGCAGUGAUAACUAAGUUCUUACUUUACUUGAUUUCUUCUAUUCCUCUAAUAACUUUCUAAAUUAUUUCUCUUCAUUUACAUAAUUAUCUAUGCUGUACUUUUCUUCAUUAUUCUAUUUGAUAUCAAGUCAUAGAUACGCCAAAGGCAUGUUGUCUUCUUUCCUAAGGCUAUCUUCUAGAAGAGCAUGUGGCCAGAUUCUAAGAGAUUCUCUGGAAUUUCUUCUAAAAUUCACCAUCGACUGAUAGGGUUUCCUUUUCUAGUUUUCCCUCUCAAGCUUAGCACUGACUUACAUUCUUUCUUUCAUUUCAUUGCAGCCAAGAUUUCUAAUUGUGUCCUAAAAAUUAAACUGAACUCUUGUCUUUCCUCAGGAGAGAAGGGUAUCCCCCAGUAGACAGGAGUCUAGGGGAUGUUGAGAGCGCUUCUCUGAAGCAACCCAACCACAUGCAAUUGUGUUUCUCUCUUCAGGGCAUUGCCUAAGUAAAAUGUACAUGGGUUAUGAUCUGUUGUAGAAAUCAAUUACAGUGAAUCUCAGAUAUCAAAUUAGUCAGUUCCUUAACUACACUGUAAUUAAAAUAGUACAGUUGACUCUUGAACAACACUAGGUUGGGGCACUGACUUUCUGCACAGUCAAAAAUCUACAUAUAACAUGACACCCCUAAACCAAUUGUUAAUAGCCUACCGUUGACUAGAAUACUUACUGAUAACGUAACAGACUAACAUAUUUCGGAUGUUAUGUGUAUUGUAUACUGUGUUACAAUAAUAUAAGUUAGAAAAAAGAAAAUGUUACUAAUAAAAUCAUAAGGAAGAGAAUUUUUUUUUUUAAAGAUGGAGUUUUGCUCUAGUUGCCCGGCUCAAGCGAUUCUCCUGCCUCAGCCUCCCAAGUAGCUGGGACUACAGGCAUCUGCCACCAUGCCCAGCUAAUUUUUGUAUUUUUAGUAGAGAUCGAGUUUCACCAUGUUGGUAGCUGAUCUUGAACUCCUGACCUCAGGUGAUCCACCUGCCUCAGCCUCCCAAAGUGCUGGGAUUACAGGCAUGAGCCACCACGCCCACCCCGAGAAAAUGUAUUUACUAUUCAUUAAGUGAAAGUGGAUCAUCAUAAAGGUCUUCAUCCUCCUUGUCUUCACCUUACUAGGUUAGGGAGGAAGACAAGGGGUUUUCUUGCUCUUUCAGGGGUGGCAGAGGCAGAGGACAAUCUGUGCAGUUCAAACUCGUGUUGUUCAAGGGUCAACUGUAAUGUCAAGUGUACCUUCUCCUCAAAGUAGAUAACCCAGAGAAGAGUCUUUUAACAUGAGAGCCUAUCCCCCCACUACACAGGGUGGGUCACCAGCUGCUCCAUAAUAGCAACAUUAUGUCCUAACCAGCAAGUUAGGACAAGAGAAUAAAACCACCAUAUCCAAUUGAAGCUUCAAGGAAACGCAAGGUAAUAAUGAUGAUUAUAUUCACAUGUGGAUAAAAGAGCAUGAAUUACAUUAUCUCCAAAGUUUUUUUGAGAGCAUUGUGUGCUAAGUUAUAUGUUGUCUUCUAUAUUAGGCCAUGCAUGGAGAUAAAAAAGCCAUAUAACUCCCCCCUCAAGUUUCGAAGACAGGUAUUCCCCUUUGAGAGAGUUGUUGUAGUGAUAAUAGUUUUGGAAUGAGUGUGUAACUGUCUUACAUAUUGACUUUAGAUUCAUAUGUCUUAGUUGUAGGGACUGCCAUUUAUUUCCCUUCCAUAUGUAGUCAGAGGCCAAUAGGCACUUAAUAAAUAAGAAGUAAAAAUUACUAUCUUCCUAAGCUUUUCCAACAUUAUUUGAUAAGUUCAUUUUUUGGUCAUAAACUAUUUUGCUUCCCAUUAUAUCUCAUGAUUAAUACUAAGUAUGAAUUCGUGUGAAAAACAUUUUGAUAGUUCUUAAACAGAUGCCAUUUAGUCUCUUGGGAUUCACCCCGAUAAAGAGGUAUUUUCUUAGCUCUCCCUACUUUAUUUACUAUUAUUUUUGAAGUUGCCUGCUCUGUCCUAUCCUUAAGGUGAUAUUCUUUUACAAAUUGUGUAUAACCCUUGGGGGAAAAAUAUACUUUCCUUCUUCCUCUGAUCACUGCCCCAUAAUAAUUAGUCCAUUCUUCCAGAUCCUCUGUCUUAUGGGCUGCUUGUUCUAUUGUAUGGUGUAGAUUUCUGUUUCAUCUUGGGGGUCAUUUCUCUAACCCGAUCCUUUAGCUAUCAGCUGCAAAGACUCUUGCAUAUACCUACUAAACUGCUUCAAAAGGAGUCUGGUUCUGCUGGCCCAAGUACUGACCUUGACCCUCUCCCCAGUCCUGAAUAGUCCUGGAAACUCAGUGUCCUCAGCACCUAAUUCAUGCUGAUCCUCUGACUUUCUUGCUUGGCCUCUGGAGAGAGAGAGCACAUUCUGAACACUCCUCCUUUUGUGUCGGCGUCUCUGUGAGGUGCUUUGGAAGGACUCCAGCCAGGCAUGGAAGGGCUCUUUGAUAAUAUCUGAUGGGUGGGUAAGAAUUUCAGGCACCUGGCCAAGAUACACAUUGCCUGUAAUCGUUAACUCAGCCUGUAAACAGUUCAAACGGCACUGAGAGGCCGUCAGUUAUUACAUUAGAAGAAGUCUUUCAUCUCUCUUGCUCAGAAGCCAGGGCGUCCAGCAUUGGCCCCCACUGUAGUAAUUGGAGCCACAGUAGUCUGUGCACAGCCACCAAAGCCCAAGACAUGCAGGGACACACAAUGGAACCUGCUCCGAAUGACUGACUUUCAAACUUUCAGCAUUAGAGCAAUAACUAAAUCAUUAAUUUCCUUUUGUUCUGCACCUGGCUGAUGCUGGAAGGGAAGAAGUGUAUUGGGUAGUGGGGAAUGGGGGUGGCAGUGGAGAGGUGGGAUCCCUGACCAGGAAUAAAUAGUAGCAAAGGAAUUAUCUUCUGGAACUGGAAAUUUAAUUUUUCAGCUCAAUUUUCCAGCACACACUCGUGUCUGAAACUUCACCCCUCACCCUUUUUAUUUGUCCCUCUGCUUCACAUUGAUCUUUCUAAGUUUGGUCCUCAGUGUACUCCAUAUCUCCAGUUGGCCUCACAAUUACUCAGUAUUACUAAACCCUCGUGCAAGGCACAGUGCUGGGCCCCAGAGAGAGCCUAGAGCAGCAUAAGAUAACAAACAUUCCUGCCCUCAAGGUGCUUACUAAUGGCGUCCUUCAGAUACUCUAGAUAUAUACUAGAGAACUCUACCUUGAGAGUUUACAAUACAUGCUAAAUAAGGUAUGCAGUGAGUUUCUGCAGGAGUUUACACUGAGAACAGCAGUGUGGACAGCAGUGAUCAGAGAAACUCCAUUCCAUGAAAAACAAAAGUUUCAAUCCUUUGUUUAAAAUUUGCUUCUUUUCUUUUAUGUCUCUCACCCAUUUUCUUUUGCCUUUUUCAUUAAGUUGCUACUUUGGCUAUACAAUAUUGAGUAUUCUAGGCACUUAGUAAAUGGGAUCAUUAAACCUUUGUUAGAAUUAGCUGAGGAGCUAGAAUUUGAGUAUUCUGGUAUCAAAGGAUGGUGCAGGAAAACCAAGUACAACUUAUUAUAAGCAUCUUAAUUUCAGAAGACCUUUUCUGAUUACUAUUUCUAAAGAUGUUCAGAUAGUUGUAAGGCCCCUGUUGCUGAAACAGUUUAGAUUAGGCCACAGGUUUUAAACUGCAGGUAAAAUAAAAUCCUACACUCACCAGUGUUCAAGGUGAGCAUCAAAGUUCCAGGUUUUACCCUUUAUACCAGAAUCCCAAGUGUAAAGCAGCUAGACUCUUUUCCUCUACAAAACAAUAUUUGAACAUUUGCCUCACUGUUUUCAACUAAAGAAAAAUGAUAGGGCCAUGAGACAUUCUUCUAGAAUUUUUUUUUUUAAAAAGGAUCUGCCUUAUGUAACUUGCCUGGUGCCCAUAUAACUUAUUACUUAGAAAGCUCUGAUCUCAUGCCUUCUGUUUUCUUUGUUUUGUAUUCCAUUUUGCUCAGCUUUUGGGGCACCCUUUCAUUCCAUUUACAUAUUUUGGAUUUGGGGUUUGUCUCAUUCCCAACAUCCAUGUUUUCUUGGCUGAUUCUGAAUGUAGCUUUGGAGGAGCAUGGAUAAAAUAAGAGUACAGAGCUUGAGGACAUGCCACCCUGCAGCCCAUGAUGUGUUCUGCUUCUGAUUUAUCAACUGCAGAGAUAAGCAGUAUAUUCCUUUCUUUCAUCUAAGACGAGUAAUACUUUCUUCCAUGGGAAAAGCAGUAGUUUUAUCUUAAAAAGAAAUUAGGUCCUUUGGAAGAAUUGACGCACUAAAGCAAACGAAAUUAAGUUUCGUUACCAUUGUGCCCAACAUUGUUAUUUGUUCAUGGUAAAUAGGAGGGUAGUUAUUUGAAAGCAUGUGUUAGGUCAUAUUUAUGUAGUAGAAUUGUAGAAAUACCGCAUUUAUAAGAUGAAAGAAAGCUUUGAAGCUUCUGCAGAUGUUUCGGAGCCACUCAAUUCAAUGUCCUGGUUAAUACUGAAAUUAUGCAAAUUUAAUACGAUGGGGAAAUAAGGGAGGAAGUUUCCCUGUUAUUCUACCUGAAUGUAGAGUCUACCUUUUGGGAAAUGACCAGUUUUGCAUAUUGGCCUCCUACUCUGGUGGUUUUCAGUCUACAGGUAGAUAGUAAGGAAACUACCUAGGAUUGUUUUGGUCCCUCUUGAUCAAUGGUUAGCAAAUUUUGGCUUAUAUCAGAGUCAGUUUUAGAAAGGUUGUCCCUCAAACUUCAGUUCCUACUUCAAACCGCCUUUAAAAUUUAAGUGUUCAUCUCUCCUUCAGUAUAUCAAGACUGACUUAAAUUUUCCCUACUCAAAACUAACUGCUUUUUCCAAUUUCCCCAUUUUGUUAAUGCAACAUCUUUUCUCCCAAUUCUCCAGGUUUAGAACUUUUAACUCCUCCAUUUCCUUCAUCCUUGUACUACAAUCUCUCAAAUACUUUCAACACUUCCUUCAUAAUUUCUUUGAUUCAUUCCUCCUUUUAACUAUUACUACCAGAGUUCAAGUUCUCAUCAUGCCAGUACUAGAUUACUGGAACACUUCUCUAAUUGAUUUUCCUACCACUAGUUUUCUCUUCAUGGCACUAUUUUACUCUGCUACUAAAUUGUUCUGCUUACAGUAUUGUUUUGAUCAUGAGAUACCCUUAAGAACUUAGGAGUAUUCCUUUUUUGCAUAUGAGAGCAAGUGCUGACUCUCAUCUUGGCAUGCAGUAGCCUUUGUAAUUUGAUCCUACCUCAGCUAUCCAAACUAUCUUUGCAGAUCUAUUUUUUUCAGUCAGACAAGUCUUCCUGUACCUUGAAGACUUGAGAGAAACUGCUCAAGAACCUUACUUUUUCUCUCACCUGGCUCCUGGUUUCUUCUCAAGUAAGCUCAUUUCAAAAAAUCCAUUUGACAGAUGCCAAUGGACUGGAUCCUGUGGCUACUUUUGUCCUGUGCAAAUUCUGUCCUCUUUAAAGGAGAGCUUAAUAUCCAUAUCCUUGACGAAUCCUGUAGGACUUAUUUGGCUGUACCACACAAUGUGGCCCUUGAUACAACAUUUUGUAUCACCAUUUACUUUGUGUAUAUGUUAUCUUCCUAGUAAGACUGUACCUCCUGGGUUGGACCUAACAGUUUUGGGAACAAGAUUGGUGCUCAUCAAAUACUUCCCAAGUAAGAGGCCAUAUUUCAGAUCCAUUCUGAUGUAUGUAUGAGGGAAAUCUCUGUGCAUCCCCAUCCAGCACUGUACUCAGUGAUCACAAGAAGUGAGUCUUCGUUUCUUGACAAUGAUCACUUGGGAGCCAUUGAUCUGCCCUGUCACAAAGGGUUUGGGGGAAACUGUAGUGGCUGUCAUUUUAGCGAGAAAGAUGGCUCCAGAAACAGGUCUGAUAAUACCCAGACAAGGAAUCAACUUAGUGACAGACAGCAACUCUAGUAGUUAGGUAUUUAUUUGGCUAGGAAAGGGGCUUAGCCUCUGAAGUAUUUCAGAUAGCUGUUGGCUUAGCAAUUAUAUAUGCUGCUACUUUCUGAGGUAAGCCUGCCUAAAAACAAAAGUAUGGCCUGAUGACUGGGUGGUUACUCCUGUACCCUAAGAACUCAUUUAUAGGCAUCUGCACAGAGGUACCCACCCGAACAAACAUUAAGAAGAAGCAAAGGAAAGUGCCUGAAGCAUAGUCACUGUGUCAACAGAAAUAUCAGAUAAGGUGGUUUUUAUGGAGGGGGUGUGUGUGGUCGGGGGAAGAGUUGAUGCACCUGUGGUUGGUGAUUAAGAAACUUGGUGCCACAUUAUAUGGCACUAUGAAGCCACCUUAUGUCCCAGCCACUCCAUGGUGGCUGAUGUAAUAUAAUUACCCAUUUGCUAACCAGGCCAAGAGGAAAUGUAUUGGAUAAAAGCCAGAGUAAGAUCGUUAUAUCUUAGCUGAGCCAUUCAGACUAUUCAGAACUUUUUGGAUCUCCUUUUGUUUCCAGUGAGGGCCUUGUAGUUGUUAAUCUAAUAGUAGUUGAUUUUUAUAGGUGUCUUGUACUUUGGUUUUUUUGUUUUGUUUUGUUUAUUUGUUUUUUGGAGACAGAGUCUUGCCCUGUCACCCAGGCUGGAGUGCAGUGGUGCAUGAUCUUGGAUCACUGCAACCUCCACCUCCCAGGUUCAAGAGACUCUCCUGAUCUCCUGCCUCAGCCUCCCAAGUACCUGGGAUUACAGGUGCCCGCCAUCAUGCCUGGCUAAUUUUUGUAUUUUUAGUAGAGAUGGGAUUUCACCAUGUUGGCCAGGCUGGUCUGAAACUCCUGACUUCAAGUGAUCUGCCUGCCUUGGCCUCCCAAAAUGCUGGGAUUAUAGGCAUGAGCCACCAUGCCCAGCCAGGUGUCAUGCACUUUGAUGUACCCAUUCCUAAGACAACUGUGUUCUCAUGUAAAUGUAUUCAGAUGAGUUCCCAUGGCUCGCACAAGCUGCCAAAUUAUGGUAUCUCCUCAAGCAGGAACAGGGUACAGACAAUUCCAUUUGGCUGAACUAGGACUGGACUUAACCCCAGACUGACUCAGCUUCUCUGUUAACAUUGUUUGAAAUUCUGAUAUCCCUCCAGAGGUUGUUUAUAAAGAGUGCUUAGUGUGAAGUAAGAACCACAAAGAAAUGGAGCAAAAUGGACCUGAGAGACCAAAACCUCUCAUUUUCAAUAUUAAUUUAGCACACAUUUAUUGAUUACCUUUUAUGUUAGAGCAUUGUGCUAUGUGGGAUUAUAAAGAAACCCCUGCCCUCAAUUUAGUAAGUAAGAGUAUAGGCCAGGCAUGGUGGCUCACACCUGUAAUCUCAGCACUUUGGGAGGGCAAGGCAGGAAGAUCACUUGAGGCCAGAAGUUUGAGACCAGUCUGGUCAACAUAACAAGACUCUACCUCUAUUUAUUAAAAAAAGAAAAUAUGAAGCAGAGGGUGACAAUUACCAUACAUAGAUACAAACAGGAUGUUUGGGGCAUUUCAGAUGAAGAGGAAGAGAUUGUUCGUGGAAGAGGUAAGCAGAUGAACUUGCCCUUGAAGGGCAUACAGGAUUUUAAUAAGCCACAGAACAGGAAUAAUAGGUAUUCCAAAAGAAUGUGAGAGAAUAGUGAGAAAUUCAGUUUGAUUUCACAAGUAGUAUGGUGCAUUGGGGAGGGGGUGGGGAUGAAACUGAAAAGGUAGAGGAGAAGGGAAGGAGCACAUACUUGUGAGUGAUUACUAUGUGCAGGAAGUCCUGGCACUUUAAAUAUGUUACUUCAUUUUAUCUCUGCAAUGAUCUUCUUGGAUGGUGUUUUUUGUUGUUGUUGUUUGUUUUUAGAGACAGGGUCUUGCACAGGCUGGAGUGCAGUGGCACAGUCAUAGAUCGCUGCAGCCUUGACCUCCUGAGUAGCUGGUACUACAGGCAUGUGCCAGCAUGCCCAGCUGAUAUUUUUUAAAAUUUGUUGUAGAGAUGGGGUCUUGCUAUGUUUCCCAGGUUAGUCUUGAACUUCUGGCCUCAAGCAAUUCACACAUUUUGGCCUCCCAAAGUUCUGGGAUUACAAGCAUGAGCCACCAUGCCCAGCCUCCAUUUUUAAAAGGAGACUUAGAGAGGUUAGGUUACCCACAGCUUGUAAGUGAUAGAGUUGAAAGGUAAAAUCGACUUGAAAUUUAAUACCAAGUUGUCUGAUUCCAGAGUCAGUACACAGCACUGAAGCCUUGAUUUGAUAGGCUAUGGAGUUUGAAUUUAAUUCAGAAGACAGUGGACAGCCAUUGAUAGUAUUUGAACAGGGCAAUGAUAGGAUCAGCGCUAUGUUUAGGAAGAUUGUUCUUGAAAUGAUAGAGAGCUUUAGAAUGGUGAGUGACUAAAGACUAGUUAGAAGUCUGUUGUAAUGGUUCCAACUCCAGAGACAUAGAAAAGGUAGGUAUCCAAAGACUAGUGAUGGCUUAGUCUUUGCAAUUACUAGGAGGAGGAAUCAUAAUGACUAUGAGGUGCUCAGCCCAAGUCUCUAGGAAAAUGAUGGUGUCGCUAACUGAUAUACGUAAGUUAAAGCAGGUUAUUGGCUUAGGGCAGAGUGCAGGGAGAAUGUGAUAUUUAGGUUUGGUAUAUUUAAGUUUGAGGUAUCAGUAUGACUACAGAGAAAUAAUGUCUAACAAACAUUUUGAAGUACAGAAGAUUUGACUUCAGAAACCAAUUUGGGAAUUAUAAUUAAAGAUACUGGAGUUAAUAAAAACCUCAGAAGAGAGAUAAUAGAGAUCAGAGAAUACAUCUUUAGGAAACAUACAUAAAUGAGAGGGAGAAGAAAAGAAGAGGGAGAAGAAAAGAGGAAGAGGCAACAAAUGAGGACAAUCAGAGAAGUGGAAGAACUAGAACAGUAUUAUGUCAUGAGCAACACGUGAAGAGUCAAACUGUAAUCACUGGGUCAGAAGUAAUUUAGGGCUAUUUGUCUUGCUGUAGCCUCGAUCCCUUUCUUAGGAAACAACUGACACCAUUACGUUCAAACACAUUCGUUUUUCUAUUUCAACUCUGUUAGGGAGGAAAUUCAGCAAUCAGGAAAGAAAACUGUUUUCCUGUUAAAGAUGUGUUUGGUGGUCACAUUUUUCACUUAAGCUAGUGAGAGCUGUCAGCAAAAUACAGUGCCAUUUUGAAGUAUUUCACUAUGUCAUUGGAGGUUUAGUUCCCAAGAAAGCUCUUGUAGUGUCCGUGCUUCUGCCCUUUUGCUCUGAGCUUCUUCCUGUGAUUUGUCAAGUCUCCCUUCAUUAGAUUUAGAACCUGAAGUUGAUGCCCAGAACUCAGGUCCCAAGCCCAAUAUGCAUUGCAUUGUCUCUUCAAGACUUAGUUACCUAAUUUGCAAAAUGGAUGGUACUAAUAAAGGGAGAAUAAAAUAGCUAAUGAAGGAUGAUAAAGCACUUUGCUAAUAUAAAAUGCAACAUCAAAGCUGAAUAAUAAUCUUAAUUUAGGGUGAAGGGUUCCAUUAGCAGAGUAAAAAUAAAAAGGACAAAGUGUAGUGUUGCUUUGUACCUUGAUAACAGUAUAUAAAUCAAAAGUGCUGCUGUUGAUCUUCAUUGCCCUGUGAACUCUCAACCCAGGAAUUUGGCUCCCCUCCCUAACUGUCUAAGUACUUCCCUUGCCCACUCAGUCUGUUGAUGGCACCUCCCUGAAUCUCCUGACAAAUACAAACAGGAAAUUCUCUUCAGCAGAGCCAGCUUGCUAACUGUGAAGAUUCCUUUUCCAUUUAUCAGCACUUAGAUUAUCUUUUUGUGUCUCUUACUAUUUGUGCCUAGCAAGAAAAAGAGGUUUGAACAAUUAAGAGGUAACAAAGAGCUCAUAGUUCACAAAGAGCAAGUCAAGGGAUGUCUGGAAUAUUUGAACAUACAACUGCCUUUAGCGUGAGGUGGCCUACAUGCAUUCUCAGGGUCAGAGUAGGCUGGAGAGCUGAUCAAGCUGCCAGGAAGCUGAAGCAAAGGCAGGGUGGUGGAAUCAAAUGUUUCUUCAACUGAAGUCUUUAAAACUUGGGCUUCAGCCAGCCACAGUAACUCACACCUCAAAUCCCAGCACUUUAGGAGGUUGAGGCGCGUGGAUCACUUGAGGUCAGGAGUUCAAGACCAGCCUGACCAACAUGGUGAAACCCCAUCUCUACUAAAAAUACAAAAAUUAGCUGGGCAUGGUGGUGAGUGCCUGCAUACCCAUCUCCCAGCUACUAAGGAGGCUGAGGCAGGAGAAUCGCUUGAAUGUGGGAGGCAGAGAUUGCAGUGAGCUGAGAUCACGCCAUUGCACUCCAGCAUGGGCAACAAAAACUCUGUCUCAAAACAAAAAAACUUGGUCUUCAGCUGGGUGCAGUGACUCAUGCCUGUAGUCCCAGCCCUUUGGGAAGCUGUGGCAGGAGGAUCACUUGAGGCCAGAAUUUUGAGACCAGCCUGAGCAAGAUAGGGAGACCCUGUCUCUACCAAAAACAGAAAUCUAAAAAAUUAGCCAGGAUUGGCGGUGUGCUCCUGUAGUCUCAGCCACUCGUGGGGCUGAGAUGUGAUCCUCCUGGGAUUGGGGCUGGGAGGUCCAGGCUGCAGUGAGCCAUGAUUACACCACCACACUCCAGCAUGGGUGACAGAGUGAGAUCCUGUCUCAAAAACAAAGAAAAACAAAAAACUUGGGCUUCAGAUACAUCCCCUUUUCAAGGAAUAAAGGAUGGAGAAAAAAAUGUAAUUUGUCUUUCAUCCCACCAAAGGUAAGAAAAAUCCACUCAGAAAAACUAUGGAAUAUUAUUGGGAGUGAACUGACUCUAAGUUUUCCCAGAACUUUUCUGAGCAGAUCUCUGGGCUGAGUCCUCAUAAAAUUUUGGUAGGGACUGAAGUUCAUUGCAGACAGCUGACACUAUGGCCUGAAGCCAGUGGAGAACAAGAGUUUCUCUCUGUCAAUAAUGCAGGGAUUUUUUAAAAAAAAUUGUUUGUAAUAGUCUCUAAAUGGCUUCUCUCAAAAAAUAACUUCUCAUUAAAUUUGGGAGAGAGACUGAAGGGCCCAAAAUGACAAGAGAGUACUUAUAAAGCAAUACAGCAAGAGCAAAGUCGUCCACCCAUUCAUUCCACAUUCCCCCAGUCUUUACGUGCUGUGCUCUGUGUAUUCCCAUGCCCUGUAUGUUGUUUGAUGAAUGGCGUUAAGACCCUGUGCAUUGAGCAUGUGUAUACACUGCUGUAGCCUACAGUCAGGUGUUACUCGCCUGAGAACAGGAUUCAUUCCUCUGGGGUGGGAGGCUGUUGCUUUCAUCCCCAUUCAGGGUUAUGCAUAACUCAGCAGCACAUUGAUAUUGAGAGGAGACAAUAGAAGAGUAACAGGCUGCGUUAUUCAACAGGAAGAUUCUCUGAAAAGAAGUGAGUUUUUUUCAGGGUUGUGGAGGAGAUCUGGGCAUGAUAGUGAAAAGGAAAAAAGAGAACUCUGCCUUGUGAUGAAGUCAAGAUAUGCUAAAGAUGACUUUGAAACUGAAACUUACAGGGAGUAUACAGAAAGUUUCUGAAGAGAAAGCAGAACUCUGAAAAUAAUCAUAUCCUGAUAAAAUGACAAGGCAACCACCAGAUUUAUUUUACCUCACAUCUGUUUAUUAAAGCAGAUGAUUCAACAUGCAUUUUUCUUAGCAUCUACUGUGUGCAUGGCAUUAUAUAAGUGAUGAAUAAGACCUAGUCCCUGACCUCAAGGAGCUCAGAUUCUACUUUGCAGGGAGGAGGAAAGAACUAAUGUUUUAUUGAACUAAGAACCAGGCAUUCUGCUGGAGGAAAUAGGUAAGAGGGUGGGUCACAACAGAGCACUGACCCACAGUAAGAGGUAAGUGUCAUUUAAGAAUUUUGAAUAAAUGGCUUUAAGGGAACAUAUGAGGGAAAGUGUUUAAUAUUGGGGACUGAGGGCUGGUCAAAGGAUUAGAGAAGGGCUAAAUUUGGACUGGGAUGGGGAGUCAAGGGUAAAAAGAAGUAGAGAGCUAUAGGAUUGGAGUUCUCAAGAGUCUUUGGCUCACAGAGGAUAGAAGAGGUACCUUUUUUUUUUUUUCUCUAUAGAACCAAGAAAAUAGGGAAAUGUCCACGGGAAGAGAAAAAAUAAAGAAUUUGGCAGAUAACCAAACUAUCUUCCCAUGAUACAUUUUCUGUAAAAGACUUCUUAGGAGCUAAGAGUGUUUUUCUGUCUUCAUUCUCUUUAAUGCCUAGAAUUCUGCCAUAAAAUGCUAUUUAUGUAUCUUACUUUUUAGUUCCUAGGAGUGCAAGAGAUGCUAAUAUUAGGAAUUUCUAAAGUAUUCAGAGGAUGGAAAUACCAGCCGGCAGCAAUGCUGAGAUAUCCAGGCACCAUUCAUAGCGACCCAGUGAAAUGCUGAGCCCCAAAUGGCAAUCCCUCUCAGGCUUUCCCAGAGCCAUCUCACUUUUUCUUUUAUCCCCUGCCUGGAAGGCUAUGCUGUGGGUGGGAAUAAAAAUCCACUCUCCUGUUGCAUCUAGGCAGCUGCCAGCUGUCUGUUUGCCUUGUUCUUUGCUGGCAAAUCAUUAAACAGUCCCCCCAAAGCAGGCCUCUUCCCUAGGGUCACCCCAUGGACAGAGAUUCAGAGCUGUGGUCAAAGGGCUGUCAGCAGGCAGGCUGGAGCCCUUGGGCUAUCUCCAACACAAGCCCUUCCUGGCUGCUGCCUCUUCUGAACAGAAGCCUCCUUGGCCUAAUGUCAACCCCCCAAUGGCUUCUGAGGAGAGACUCUGGGCAUCUGAGUUGGCUGGCGGUUUGAAUAAUUUUAUUCUUUUCCUCCUGAAGUAAUUUCUCAGUGCAACUACCCCCAUGAUGUCUUUAUUGUUUCUUUAUUGAAGCCCAGGCCCAUCCUCCACAUUUUUUCCACUUUGCAGUAUAAAUACAAUAUUGUGUGUUACUGCCCAGGAGCUGGGGACUGGGACCAGCCGAGCAAACUUCAGAGUUUCAUCCCAUCCCCACUUACAUUGUGCCAAUGCAAAUCUGAGUGUAAGAUUUCACUGAGCCAGUCCAGUUGGAGAUAGUAUCUGCCCUCAAAGGGCUUAUAAGCUCCAGGGCUUGCAGGUUGUGGAAGACAGUAGAAUGGAGCAAAGUUUGCAGGAUACCUUAAAAUCCCUAUAGCCUCUGAGCAGGAGACUAAACCUAAAAGACCUGGAAUAUGUGUGAAGUAACCAUGUUAAUGAAGCUAUUUCCCACUCUUGCAAUGAAAUCACCAAACUUAGCAAUGCUCAAGUAGCUCUGCUGGUAGUCCAGAUGGGCCUCUGGCAUGUUUAAACAAAUGAUCUGGUUUCC